UUCAGUCAUAUCACACUGCAAGCUUCAUUCAUGAAUCUUCAAUUGGAUGUUGCAAAUGUUUAAUGAAACAUGUUUCCCUUUUAUGCAGAUAUGCAAUGGCAAGCCCUUCCGUGUGUUCCAAAGACAAUGCCUACGCCUAGCCACAGCAGCUCCCUCAUACAGACUCCGCAAGCCAAGAGGCCGUGGAGGCAAAUGCAGGCAGCCAGCACACCUCGAACAGCCACCCUGACUGCGGGCGUGUCACCCUAGUCGCCAAGGAAACAUUUGAGGGAAAGCGACAGGCAAUGUGAACAGCCAUUUCUCCAUGUAAACAAUACUCGUUCUCUCGGACGA